rnacentral:rRNA from 1 species
GACGAACGCGGGCGGCGGGCUUAACACAUGCAAGUCGAACGAGAAAGGUUCUCUCGGAACUGAGUAAAGUGGCGCACGGGUGAGUAACGCGUAGGCAACCUGCCCCUAGAUUUGGAAUAACUCCGGGAAACCGAGGCUAAUACCGAAUAACGUCUCUUGAUCGCAUGAUCAGGAGACCAAAACUCCGGUGUCUAGGGAUGGGCCUGCGUAAGAUUAGGUAGUUGGUGAGGUAACGGCUCACCAAGCCGACGAUCUUUAGCUGGUCUGAGAGGAUGAUCAGCCACACUGGCACUGAGACACGGGCCAGACUCCUACGGGAGGCAGCAGUGAGGAAUAUUGCGCAAUGGGGGAAACCCUGACGCAGCCACGCCGCGUGGUGGAUGACACCCCUAUGGGGCGUAAACACCUUUUAUGAGAGAAGAAGUCCCUACUCGGUAGGGUUUGACGGUACCUCAUGAAUAAGCACCGGCUAACUCCGUGCCAGCAGCCGCGGUAAUACGGAGGGUGCAAGCGUUGUCCGGAAUCACUGGGUGUAAAGGGUGUGUAGGCGGAGCUGUAAGUCAGAGGUGAAAUCCUACGGCUCAACCGUAGAACUGCCUUUGAUACUGCAGCCCUUGAGUAUCGGAGAGGUUGCUGGAAUUCGUGGUGUAGCGGUGAAAUGCGUAGAUAUCACGAGGAACACCAGAGGCGUAGGCGGGCAACUGGACGAUUACUGACGCUGAGGCACGAAAGCGUGGGGAGCAAACAGGAUUAGAUACCCUGGUAGUCCACGCUGUAAACGAUGGAUGCUCGGUGUCGCCCUCUUAGUAGGGCGGUGCCUAAGCUAACGCGUUAAGCAUCCCACCUGGGGAGUACGCUCGCAAGAGUG